ACAUCGGUGGUCAGUACAGUCUUCCGAAAACAGAAAGACACGGGUUCAAUUCCCGUCCGAUGUC
rfam:Nippostrongylus brasiliensis genome assembly, scaffold: NBR_contig0004926